rnacentral:rRNA from 1 species
GACGUAGGGCGCGAGCGUUGUCCGGAUUUAUUGGGCGUAAAGAGCUCGUAGGUGGUUUGUCGCGUUGUUCGUGAAAACUCACAGCUCAACUGUGGGCGUGCGGGCGAUACGGGCAGACUGGAGUACUGCAGGGGAGACUGGAAUUCCUGGUGUAGCGGUGGAAUGCGCAGAUAUCAGGAGGAACACCGGUGGCGAAGGCGGGUCUCUGGGCAGUGAACUGACGUGGAGGAGCGAAAGCGUGGGGAGCGAACAGG